UGUUUUUAAUUUCCGAAAAGAGGGGAAGAGAUUUGCAGAGGCGCACGUUAGCAAAUCGCAGGUGAAGCCCCUGCAUUUGAAUUCUUCGUCGCGUCUCUCUCUCUCUCGCUCGCUUCCAUUGUUUCCUCGUCGGGCGGCGGAGCUCUCGAUCCAAGCUUCUUCCCUCGCGUGCGGGCGUAGAUCCUUGAGUACAUCGCGGUUCGUCCCCGCGGACGUCCCCUGUAAGCGGCGCCGAUCAAUUGCUCUCGUUUCUCCCUGCCUGGUGACCCAGUUUCGAGCACUGUCGUCGUACGUUAGGGCAUUCCUCGACUGCUCCUCCCAUUGUCUUGGAAUCGAGGCCUUGUUCAUCUCGCGCUGCCUCUGGGAAUUUGGAUUUCAUUUUGGGAAAUACCAACUUUCUAGGGUUCCGUCAAGAUCUCUGAGGUUUCUGUUGUGGUUUGUUCCACUAAGAUCGCUUGGCUUCUGGGAACUAGGAAUUCCUCUCAGGAUUGUUCGGCACUUUGCUUUCAUUUGCAUCGUGGGGCGGAAGAGUGCGGCAUUGCAAUACAUUGAAGUUGGAAGACCUUAGCUCGAGCUGACACAAAAGUUCGUGCUGCUACUGAUUUGGUCUGCAGCGGAGUGUGUGUUUGGUUUGGAUUAAUGGACGUGCCAUGUUUCUUUGUCAUUGCUCACGGCCACAUAUUGUGAAUUAUAAUGUGUGUGUUUUUUCUCCAUAAACGAAAGAUCUUGUGAGUUCGUUUAUGGGGCCGUGGAAGGUUCUAUGCAGAUGCAAAAUAUCUUCUUGCCACUAUGCAGACAAGGCUUGUUCUUUGUGCAUAUGUUGUUUACCGCUGGUAGUGGUAGGUGAAUGGCAGAUCCUUUAAGAAAUGGCCCCAUUGAGAGGGAUGUAGAACAGGCAAUCACAGCCUUGAAGAAAGGAGCGUAUCUAUUGAAGUAUGGUCGAAGAGGGAAGCCAAAAUUCUGCCCUUUUCAUCUUUCUAAUGAUGAAGCGACACUUAUUUGGUAUUCUGGAAGCGAUGAGAAGCAAAUUAGACUUAGCCAAGUUUCAAAAAUUAUACCUGGGCAACGUACUGCAAUAUUUCAGCGGUAUCCACAACCUGAUAAAGAAUACCAGUCAUUUUCACUCAUAUACAAUGACAGAUCACUUGAUUUGAUCUGCAAAGAUAAGGAUGAAGCAGAAGUCUGGUUUGUUGGUUUGAGGGCUUUGAUCUCAAAUGGAAAUUACCGAAAGUUGAGAUUUGAAUCAAAAGGUGAUAGGAGUUCCUCUGAUAGUCCUCAUGCUUAUAUUUGGAAAUUUUCUCCAUUUAUAUCACCCAUCAGUGAUACCAAUAUUUUCCAUAAGGAUUCCAUUGAUGACCAACAAGUUAAUAUUCAACAUGAGAGCCAGCCAACCAAUGGUUUAGGAAAGGUGUUGUCCAAUGUGAUAUUAUGUACUGCACCAGCUGAAGAUUUGUUUCAUUCAGAUUCUCUAAGUAAACCUACUUACUCAUGCUCAUCAGGGGCUACUGAUGUUUCAUAUGGCUACGGUUCUGCGACUGAUACUGUUCGAGUGAGUUUAUCUAGCGCUGUUAGCUCUUCUAGCCAUGGAAGUUUUGAUGCAUUAGGUGAUGUUUUCAUUUGGGGUGAAGGCAUUGGUGAUGGGUUGCUUGGGGGUGGAUUGCAGAGGAUUGGAAGUUCAUCUACCACUAAUAUGGAUGCACUUUUGCCUAGAGCCUUGGAAUCAAAUGUAGUUCUCAAUGUCCAUAAUAUAGCCUGUGGAAGGGGCCAUGCAGUUUUAAUAACCAGACAAGGAGAGGUUUUCAGUUGGGGAGAGGAAUCUGGAGGAAGGCUUGGGCAUGGAAACAAUGCUGAUGUUUCCCAGCCAAAGCUUAUUGAUGCUUUAGGUGGACUGAAUGUUGAACUUGUGGCUUGUGGAGAAUAUCAUACAUGUGCUGUGACUUUGUCUGGGGAUUUAUACUCGUGGGGUGAUGGUACUCACAGUUCAGGAUUCCUGGGGCAUGGGAGUGAUGCAAGUCACUGGAUUCCCAAAAGAGUGGGUGGUGCAGUGGAAUGUCUGCGUGUGUCAUCAGUGUCCUGUGGGGCAUGGCAUACAGCUAUUGUGACAUCUUCUGGCCAGCUAUUUACAUUUGGCGAUGGAAUGUUUGGCGCUCUAGGUCAUGGAGAUCGUAGUAGCACAAACAUACCAAGAGAAGUUGAAGCUUUGAGAGGAAUGCGAACUGUUUGUACAGCAUGCGGUGUUUGGCACACAGCUGCAAUUGUAGAAAUUUUAGAUGCAUCAUCUGAUUCUGGUCGCUCUUCAGUAGGGAAAUUAUUCACUUGGGGAGAUGGUGAUAAAGGCCGACUCGGACAUGGUGAUAGAGAACCUCAAUUUGUUCCAGCAUGUGUACUUUCUCUUUCUGAUAGCUUGUGUAAGGUGGCUUGUGGGAACGACAUAACUAUUGCUUUAACAACUUCUGGAUGUGUUUAUGCAAUGGGAAGUAAUGUCUAUGGGCAACUUGGUAAUCCUGAAUCAGACGGUAAACUUCCUUGCCGUGUUGGGGGUAAGAUUUCCAAUAGUUUUGUCGAUGAGAUAUCAUGUGGCUCUUAUCAUGUUGCCGUAUUAACUUCGAAAACUGAGGUUUACACCUGGGGAAAGGGAGCAAAUGGUCGUUUAGGCCAUGGCGACAAUAUUGACUGCAGUACUCCAACUCUUGUUGAAGCUUUGAAGGAUAAACAAGUGAAGAGUGUUGUGUGUGGUGUAAGUUUUACUGCUGUCAUAUGUCUUCAUAAGUGGGUAUGCAGUGUGGAUCAGUCCACUUGUGCCGGUUGCCAUCUCCCUUUUGGUUUCAGAAGAAAGCGUCAUAAUUGUUAUAACUGCGGGCUAGUUUUUUGCAAAGCAUGUAGCAGUAGAAAAUCUACCAGAGCUUCUUUGGCACCAAAUAUUAACAAGCCGUACCGAGUAUGUGAUGAAUGCUAUGCAAAGCAUAAGAAAGUGAUAGGGGAUGGUGUGAUACCAAGAGGACCAAGAUAUCAAAUUGGAAACCUGAUUCCUGAUGAACUGGUUGACAAAGAUUCAAAUGGUUCUAAAGUGCAAGGGCAGUCUAGGUUCUCCUCAGUUGAAUCUUUUAAAGGUGAAAGCGGAGAUUUCAAAGAAUCAACUAAUGUCCGCCGUCCAAUCCUGCAUCAAUUUGGAAAUCUAUACUCAUCUACCUCUUCAAAAUUCCUUCAACCAUCUUCAAGGAAGAUAUUUUCUGCUUCUGUUCCUGGUUCGAGAGUUUCUUCUCGUUCAUCAUCUCCUACAUCAUGCAAGCCUAGCCCGCCCCACUUGUUACAUAAAAUGACUGCAACUGAUCAUAAAUGCAUGGAGAUAUUUGCUGACCCAAAGCCAAUGACUGAGGAUCUAGAACGAGAAGUAGCUAAGUUGCAGGCACAGGUAGAUGAGCUAAUGUCUAAAUCACAAAUUCUAGAAGUAGAACUGCGGAAAGCAACAAAAGAGUUGAUAGAUGCAAAGUUAAUAGCAAAUGAAGAAACUGCAAAAUGCAAAGCUGCAAAGGAAGUUAUCAAGUCUCUUACCUCACAGGGCUUCCUGGUUUGAUAUGCUUGCUUAAUCCCCACCUUGAUCUUAUCCAUAUUGGUUAUCAUUUCCAAUCAUAUUCCUAUAUAAGAAAAAGAAAUGGUUGAAGCAUCUAAUUCAUGGACCACUUUCACUAGAAGCCAUGCACUAUAUUUCUCAAAAGAACUCCUUUCUUACAUCUAGAAGACACGACUGCCAGUAGAAUUAGCAUGGUGAUAUCAAAUCAGUAUAUAUCUCUGCUCUUGCCAUUUUCUCUCCUAUUCAUCCGCCCAAAGAAGUUAGAUGGACUUCAUUAUAGGUACAAAGUUCUUGUUAUUGGGAGAAAAUUAACAAGGUGAUCAAACUAUGGAGCUGAUGGCAUGCGUUGUUACUCACUAGUAGCUGAUGGAUCUUUUUUUGUGUUUAUCAAGGAUGUUUUUUGGACUUAAUAGAUUUAUUCUUCUCAUAUAUGCAUUGUGCGCCUUGAUGAUGAUUUUCAUACCCUGAAAGUAAGACAAUAAGAAGUGGCAUCUUUAUAGUCAUCAUUGAUCACUGAUAAUACACAGUUCCAAUAAGUCGUGCAUGUUAAGUUCCCAACACAACUCAUUUACUAGCUAUUAGGUUCUUUAGGUCCUGCUAUUUUGCUCAUUGUCUCAUGAACUAUGAUGGCAAAUUCAGCAAUGGCCUGUUUUAGCUGCAUUAUUCAACAGACGGGAUUUUGGACUUAAUUUGUUUUGGUCCUUGGCAGCUGAAAGUCAUUGCUGAGAGUGCGUCGGAGGGAUUUCUGGUAUCCAAUGAUGAAUAUGCCUUUCCAGAUUCAUCUAAACUUUCUUCCCGUGACAACACGUUAACUAACUUGCUUGCUGCCCAUGUGUCUGAGUCAAAUGGUUGCAGUAGUAAUCCGGUGUUGUACAAUGGUAAUGACAAAAUUCCUGAGGCUGAAGAAUGGGUUGAACAAGCUGAACCAGGCAUUUACUUAACCAUAACUUCUCUGCUUGGAGGCCGUAAAUCACUCAAGCGUGUGCGCUUUAGCCGGACAAAAUUCAGUGAACAACAAGCAGAGAAGUGGUGGGCAGAAAAUCAGUCUAGGCUUCAGGAGACGUACACUAUUCUUGCAGCUGAAAAUUAUGCCUCCGCUUCAGCAUCUAGAGAAAGAACAGGUUGACUGACAUAGAACCGAUAUCCAUGGAUUCUCCCUCACCCUUCCCCCCCGGUAAAUGUAAAUAACCCUACAGCCGGUGGGUGUUGCACAUAACUCGUUGGUGGUUGCUUCAGAAUACUACAGCCUGAACAAGGACAAUCACAUGCUAAUCAUCUCUACGGCCUCGAAUAAGCUUGUGCAGUUGGUUUUUCUAUUUUGCUUCUCUUUUGUUUACUCCAUUGACAAAAUAACAUGCCAACUUUUUCCUCUUUCUCUGAGUCUGGCAUGCGUGUUUUUCUUCCAUCCGCUCGCUCGAAGACAACAACAUUUUUUUUUUCUAAUUUAAGGUUUUAUCUUUUUCUCA